rnacentral:rRNA from 1 species
UAGGGAAUCUUCCGCAAUGGACGCAAGUCUGACGGAGCAACGCCGCGUGAGUGAAGAAGGAUUUCGGUUCGUAAAACUCUGUUGAUAGAGAAGAACAGCGCAUAGAGUAACUGUUAUGCGUGUGACGGUAUCUAACCAGAAAGCCACGGCUAACUACGUGCCAGCAGCCGCGGUAAUACGUAGGUGGCAAGCGUUGUCCGGAUUUAUUGGGCGUAAAGCGAGCGCAGGCGGUCAAUUAAGUCUGAUGUGAAAGCCCCCGGCUCAACCGGGGAGGGUCAUUGGAAACUGGUUGACUUGAGUGCAGAAGAGGAGAGUGGAAUUCCAUGUGUAGCGGUGAAAUGCGUAGAUAUAUGGAGGAACACCAGUGGCGAAGGCGACUCUCUGGUCUGUAACUGACGCUGAGGCUCGAAAGCGUGGGUAGCAAACAGG